rnacentral:lncRNA from 1 species
GUUUGAGGUCUGGGCCUGGGCUCAGCGGGUUUCAGCUGCUGCUCAGAUGCCUUCUGCAGAGGGGACGCGUCCCCUCCUCCACCCAUGAGUGUGUUCGCAUGUGGGGCACUGCUCCCAGCUGAGACCAGGGUUUGGCUCUGGUGACUAUUUUUAGGUGGUUUUUCCUCUGUGUCUCAUCCCCAGCUCUCGGCUGCUGUGCCUUAGAGAUGUUCCCAUUCCUCCCUCACAGCAGCGGCCCUGCGGUUUCAGGGGAGAGCGGGGACGUGUCCCCAGGGACGGACUCCUGCUUGCUCCCAAGGGGCACCUUGGCAGGGCGGACGUUGAAAGCUGAAUGCAGAGGAAGCAUCUGGAAGCGGAGCUCUUGGCCUCAGCCCCCCUGUGCUGGAAGGUGCCAGGCACGAGGAGAUGGUGAGCUUCCUGCUGAUCCAGGCCCAAACUUGGGGCUAAGAUGACGCCUUCUCUGCGAGUGGGAGCCAGGCCUACGGUGAGCGGGGUAGCCUGGGCCCUCCCAGGACUGUAGAGGAGAGGGCGGAAAGGCAGCCCCCGGCCUGGAAGGCCACCCCUUAGGCCAGCCAGGCCUCUAGCCCCAGAUGAUCGCCACUCUCAUGCGCAGAGUGACCCUGGGGACCCUGGGAUGAAACUCAUGCGUUUAUGAAAUAAGACCAGGAUUGAGCAUUGGAUGAGAUUGCUUAGGUGGAAAAGGUCGGGAAAGAGGGUGUGAGCUUGGUGCUGCGCUGGUGAAGGAUCAACCUGUCCAGAAACACUGUGGGCCACACAGGCCGGCGAGCAAAGCCAGAUUCCAGAACCCCUCCGGCUAGGUCCCCGUGGAGGGUGAGCGGGUGGGAGGGGCGCUUGGCCAGGCCGCAGAUCCCGCAGCUGGUGGAUAACUUUAGUUAUCUCUUCUCUCUCUCGCUCUCUUUUUUUCUGUUUAACGUUUUUCUAACACUUUUCUGUUUGCUUUCAACAAGUUAAAGAACUUUCUGUGGCAGCCGAGCGCGGUGGCUCACGCCUGUAAUCCCAGGGCGGCCAAAGCAGCAGAUCACUUGAGGUCGGGAGUUUGAGAACAGCCUGACUAACGUGGAGAAAACCCAUCUCUGGAACAAAAAAAGAAUGCAAAAUUAGCCGUGGCGCGUGCCUGUAAUCCCAGCUACUUGGGAGGCUGAGGCAGGAGAAUGGCUUGAAUCUGGGAGGCAGAGGUUGCAGUGACCUGAGAUCGCACCACACUACACUCCAGCCUGGGCAACAACAGCAAAACUCCAUCUCAAAAAAAAAGACCUUUUUUGUUUCAUUUAUUUGUUUAUUUUCCUGUGGUAAAAUAUGCAUAAGAUAAAAUGUACCCAUUUCAACCAUUUUUAGGUGUGCGGCUCAGUGGCAUGAAGCGUACACACAUUGUUGACAGUCAUCACCACCAUCCAUCUCUAGAACGUCUGGUCUUCCCAAACUGAAAGUCUUC